CAUUUCUACGAGUCUAACAGUCUUGCUCUUAAUGCUACUUGGUUGUGGCACAUGAAGAGGGAGCGGCUGGGAUUAGCUAUGCUCCCAGCCAACUCUCCUCCUGCUUUCUUGCUAGCUGCAUCCUGGGGUGACCUUACUGUUCUCUCCCAGGGUUAGUUGGAGCUAACAUUUUGAUCUUGGGUCCGUUUUUUCCUUCAAAUCCUAUAAAAACACAAUGCAAAAGAGGAUUGUGAGCUCUUGCUGCCUUUGACCUUUGAGCAAAAAAGCCGGUGAGGCCUGGGAAAUAAGCUACCCUUGGAAACGAAGCCCAGAGGUAAACAACGGAGGAGCUCACCAACCAGUUGGAGAAGUUCCACUUCGUCUGCAGAAUAAAGAGCCUUGGGAAAUAAGACUUCAUCUGUUUUGGUGGAAGAUCAGCAGCGGUAGCUCACCUACACUUGGUGCUACAGAUCCUUCCGGUAUCUGUCCUGUGUGCAGAGAAUCACCACUUUUCCUCUGUUUCCAGUGGAGUUACGGAGUCCAAAAAAAGACGAGAGACAACAUUUGAGAGACCCGCCCACCCAAAACGAACCCAACCCAAUUCCAGAUGACUCGGCUCAGUGCUGAAUGGGGCUUUAUUAUUGUUUUCUUUGUUCCUUUGAGAUUGGUUUUCAUUAUUCAUUGUUUCUCUAAGUGGAUGGAAACUGAAAACUAUGGGUAUUGCAUUUUAAUUGGGGCCAGUACUUUUCUAACAAUCAGGAAUUUAACUGAUGUUUUUAGAAAAUGCAAUUUGCUGGCAUGAAAAAAAAAUCUUUUCCCCAAUUUUUCAUAUAUUGAUGCAGGCGGGUAGGGAAAGCCAUUUAUGUCCAAAAUACAGUAUUUUCCAGUAGGUUCAAAUAGUAGACUAUUACCCAGUUCUGCAUUUAUUACCUACAGAUAAUGGGAUCCUUGUAGGUGUCACCACCAAACUGGUUAUUACAGAUAUCAUCUCAUAGCAUUCUUAGUUUCCUCAUUAACUCUUGUUGAGUGGUUUGAGACAGAAAACCAUUCUUUCCAAUAUUAGAACUUCCAGAAAGAAUGGUGUUAAAGAAUUAAUCAUACUCAUUAUUAAGAGCAGAGCCAGAAUAAAUGUGAUGUGAUACAUUAUCAUACAUUCUCUGUUUGCGAAUAUGAAGACAUCAACUAGGAAUAAGUGUGCUUGCUACAAACUUAGGGAAACAGAUUAAAAUCCCCAUUCUAUAUUAAAGAUCUAAUUAAUUUAUCAGCUAUUUGCCUCAUCAUUUGAACAUGUGAAAAAUACCAUUUAUAUAAAUUAUAUCGUUUUGGUCAUAUUUUAUUUUCCAGACUAUUUCUGUAAUUAUCUUACCCAGAACAUGU